AAAAAAGCAGGGGCCUGUUGCCCAUGUGAACAGGUCUCUCGUAAACUUCAGGGAAAUUACUUUCAUUGUUACUGGGUGAACCUCUGUUUUUUCUAUUUAUGGCUGAAGGUUCAAUAAAUGAUGAGACAUUU